rnacentral:rRNA from 1 species
CCUACGGGAGGCAGCAGUGGGGAAUAUUGCACAAUGGGGGAAACCCUGAUGCAGCAACGCCGCGUGAGUGAAGAAGUAUUUCGGUAUGUAAAGCUCUAUCAGCAGGGAAGAAAAUGACGGUAACUGAGUAAGAAGCCCCGGCAAACUACGUGCCAGCAGCCGCGGUAAUAAGUAGGGGGCAAGCGUUACCCGGAUUUACUGGGUGGAAAGGGAGCGUAGACGGCGAUGCAAGUCUGAAGUGAAAGCCCGGGGCUCAACCCCGGGACUGCUUUGGAAACUGUAUGGCUGGAGUGCUGGAGAGGCGAGCGGAAUUCCUAGUGUAGCGGUGAAAUGCGUAGAUAUUAGGAAGAACACCAGUGGCGAAGGCGGCUUGCUGGACAGUAACUGACGUUGAGGCUCGAAAGCGUGGGGAGCAAACAGGAUUAGAUACCCUAGUAGUC